UACGAAGGGGGCUAGCGUUGUUCGGAUUUACUGGGCGUAAAGCGCACGUAGGCGGAUUGUUAAGUCAGGGGUGAAAUCCUGGAGCUCAACUCCAGAACUGCCUUUGAUACUGGCAAUCUUGAGUCCGGAAGAGGUGAGUGGAACUCCUAGUGUAGAGGUGGAAUUCGUAGAUAUUAGGAAGAACACCAGUGGCGAAGGCGGCUCACUGGUCCGGUACUGACGCUGAGGCGCGAAAGCGUGGGGAGCAAACAGG
rnacentral:rRNA from 1 species